GACGAACGCUGGCGGCGUGCUUAACACAUGCAAGUCGAACGGAAAGGCCCUGCUUUUGUGGGGUGCUCGAGUGGCGAACGGGUGAGUAACACGUGAGUAACCUGCCCUUGACUUUGGGAUAACUUCAGGAAACUGGGGCUAAUACCGGAUAGGAGCUCCUGCUGCAUGGUGGGGGUUGGAAAGUUUCGGCGGUUGGGGAUGGACUCGCGGCUUAUCAGCUUGUUGGUGGGGUAGUGGCUUACCAAGGCUUUGACGGGUAGCCGGCCUGAGAGGGUGACCGGCCAAAUGGGGACGGGGAGACGGCCCAGACCCAUACGGGAGGCAGGAGUGGGGAAUAGGGCACAAGGGGGGGAGUCCUGAUGCAGCAACCCCGGGGGGGGGAGGACGGCCGUCGGGUGGGAAACCGCUUUCGCCUGUGACCAAGGGUGAUGGACGGGAAGGGGGAAAGAAACACCGGCAAACUACUG
rnacentral:rRNA from 1 species